UUUUCAAAAUCAGUCCCUUCGUUUUACGCAUCACUUGGACAAACACAAACCUAGUCCGGCCCUGCUAUCUCAGCCCAAGGAGCUGCCUCGGCAUCCUCAGCACCCCCGCGCAAAUCUCCCUGCACAGCGAGCGAAGACGCACAGAUCCUUCCUGCCGGCGACGGAAGUUCCAGAAAUCGCAUGGCGAGCUCCUCGGAUCGGCGACAGGGCCGUCCCUGACCCAGCGCAUCCCGCCCCGCCCCGCCCCGCAAGCCGCACGUAACCUGCUCGACGGAAUGCGGUACCGGGACGUCGUCGCGGCGACGGCGGCCAUCGGCGCGCUCGCCCGCGCCGGCCGGCACCGAGACGCCGUGUCCCUCUUCUCCCGCGUGCUCGCGGACGGCGUCCCGCGGCCGAACGAGUUCACCUUCGGCACCGUCCUCCGGUCGGCCACCGCGCUGCGCGACCCGCGCGCCGGCGCGCAGCUCCACGCCUGCGCCGCAAAGUUCGGCCUCCGCUCCGACGUCUUUGUGGGAAGCGCCCUCGUCGACCACUACGCCAAGAUGGGCGCCAUGAGGGAGGCCCAGGGCGCGCUCGGGGACACCCGCGAGCCCAACGUCGUCUCCUACACCGCGCUCAUCGCCGGGUUCUUGAAGAACGGGAUGCCCGAGAAGGCCCUCGGGCUGUUCCGGUGCAUGCCGGAGAAGAACGUGGUUUCCUGGAACGCGAUGAUCGGCGGGUGCAGCCAGGCGGGGCUCAGCGAGGAGGCCGUCGGCCUGUUCCGGGAGAUGUGUCGAGAGGGCGUCUGGCCGAACGAGUUCGCGUUUCCCUGCGUGCUCACCUCUGUUGCCAACACGGGGGCGCUCGGCGUCGCUCGAAGCGUCCAUGCGUCGGCCAUCAAGCACUUGGGCAAGCUCGACGUUUACAUCGGCAAUUCUCUCGUCAUCUGCUAUGCCAGGUGCGGUAGCUUGGAGGACAGUGUGCUGGUCUUUGCAAGCAUGGAGCAGAAGAAUGUGGUCUCCUGGAACGCUCUGAUCUGUGGGUAUGCGCAGAAUGGGAGAGGGGAGGAAGCUUUGGCUGCCCACAAGAGGAUGAUAGCAACGGGCUUGAAGGCAAAUAAUGUCACCCUCCUAGGAUUGCUGUUCGGUUGCAACCAUGCCGGUCUGGUCGACGAGGGCUAUUCGUUGUUCAAGACAGCCCAGAGGGAGCAACCCGACACAUUGAAGCCGGAGCAUUACGCUUGUGUUGUGGAUCUCUUCUCUCGUGCCAAACGAUUCGACGAAGCCAAGAGGUUUCUUGAGGACCUUCCAUUUGAGCCAGGCCUUGGGUUCUGGAAGUCAAUGAUAGGAGGGUGCCUGAUUCACUGGAACAAGGACCUCGCCGAGAGCGUCGCCAAGCGUAUUCAUGCACUUGACCCAGAGGACACUUCUUCAUACAUCCUUCUCUCUAAUGUUUAUUUUUCAGUUGGAAACUGGGAGAGUGCGUCAAUGAUCAGGAGACAUAUUAAGGAGAAGGGGCUCAAGAGGAUCACUGGCUGCAGCUGGAUUGAUGUCCAGGACAAGGCCCAUGUCUUCGUCAAUGGAGACUCUAGACAUCCUCAGAGUGAUGAAAUUUACAAGGUGCUCGAGGUUUGCCUGGAUAAUGAUGAAGAUGAGCAUUGCCUUGCAGUAUGAUUGUGGAACAACACUCGACGGUAACUAUGUGUUUCUUUGGUGACUGAUGCAAUGCGUACAUGAUAGCUAGACUGACUGGCCGAGAGUCAAAUUAGUCAUGUUCAUCACUCAUCAGGUUAAGUAGAUAUUGAUAGACUUUAACUUGUGCGGUAGCAGGAGAGUAUGAGUUUUGCCUGAUAAGACCAACAACGAACAGCAACUGCAGAGUACCUGGAGAUCAGAAGAAAGAUGGCCAGAGAUGGUUCAUCUUCCAAGCAGAGGGUGGUGUUGCAAACUUGGAACCUUGGAAGACAUGUAACUCAAAGCUUUCAGGGUGCUACUUGGUGUCAAGGUUUACAGAAGAUGGAGAAACCAAGGCACAUUGGAGGGUGGAGCGAUGAUGCUGAAGGAAAAUGCCACGAACAUGAUGAGGAUCUGUGUGGCUGCACAGAAAAGACAUAGAGAUGAAAUGAUGCUGAUCAAAUUGGACACCUUCCUGUGUCCUGAAGCUCUUCUAUUCUGUGGCUGCAUUUCGCCGUUAUGUCUGUAGUCUGCAUGUAUAUACUUAUACUGUGCUCAUGCGUGAGCGGUGUUUGAAACUUGUGUUUAGGGUAGCCUUUGCUGGUGCCACCGGGUUUUCGCCCCGUGGCAGAUGCCUCGACUGUGAGCAUUUGCAGUCGGUUUUCCGAAGUGGUGCUUUGAACUUGCUUCUUUCUUCUCCAAUCUCCUGAAACUUUCUCAGAUUGGCUUUUAUAUUUACGUUAUGCUUAUAAUGGAAAAGGGAUUAGCCCGGUUCAGAAAAAUGUGCUAGUGCGGAUAAGGAAAUAGUUCGUGCCAAACUCAUUGCAGAGUAGCCCAUUAACCAGGUGAUAACGUUUUCUACCCUUCCCUCUGUGCCAAAAAAUACACCGAUCUGUAGCACUAGCUUAGACAUUUUAGCACUGAGUUGGAUUGUGUGAACAACUACUAGAAAUACGGCUGGCCUUUUGAAUUCUUAGAAUGAGUUGAAACUUGCAAGUUGCAAUGAGAUCUUGCCCCUGAAACAAAAGAACAGUAAAUAAGUGACCAUAUCUGCUCAAAUAAAAUAUUUCCAUCCAUACAACACCAUCCGUAGCCUGUACACCUCCCUUCCUCAGUUGGCAGCAAAUCAUCUCAUCACAAGAAUUGAACAGAAAACCAAGCAUAUGCAGCUAAUUGCUAGAAUUAAAUCAAGGCCUACAUAAACGGUGUAUUCAACGAAAUCUUCAAAGGCAGAAGCACAAGGUUCAGAACAAAAAUUACUCUAGCAGAUAGCAGAGUUAAAUUCAAACAACUGGCAUCUUCAGAACUGAGACUUCCUAGAACACGGCGGUUGCUGAUUGGUUUCAAGCUGUCGAUGGUUUUAUUUUUCAUACUGUUGGACUAGAGAACAAUGUGUUAACAGGGAUGGGAAAAUAAAAAAAUUGCUCAAACAAAACUCAUUGCAGUGCAGCACAUUAAGCUACUGUGGCAAUAAAAAAUAUCAUCCAUGUUCCUCUGGAAGUAGACAUUUUAGCACUGGGUUGGAUUAUGUGUAGAAUCACUAGAAUACGGCUGGCUUUCUGGAUUUUAGAAUGAGUAAACUGUGUUAAAGCUCGGACAUGAGAUCUUGCCCCUGAAAACAAAUUCAUUAUGAAGUUACCCAAUCUGAUCAAAUAAAAACUUUCCAUCCUUCAUCAUUACGUCUCCUGUCAUCUGAUCAAAAUAAUUCAACAGGAAAAAUACGCAUGUACAGCAUGACGCUGGAUUUAAACCAAGACAUCCGUCCAUGCAGAAUUCAACAAAAUCGUCAAAGAAGAAGCACAAGGUUCAGAACAAACAAACAGCUGACAUCUUCAGAAGUGAAGAAAGGCACGUUUGAAACUAACUAGAAUAUAGCUGGCGUUCUAAAAUUCUUUAGAAUGUGUUAAAAGCUUGCAAUGAAAUGUUGCCCUGAAAACAAAAUUCAGUAACUACUUACCAAAUCUGAUCAGAUAAAAACUUCCAUCGGUACAGCAAUGUGUAUUCGGUACAUCUCCUGACUUCAGUUGGCAGCCAAUCAUCUAAUCAAAAGAAUUUGUACAGCAUGCCGAUAGAAUUGGAUCAAGACCUACCUCUGACAGUUUUACUGAAUUUUGUUUUCAGCGGCAAUGUUUCAUUGCGAGCCAAACAACAAAUCAGAUGAAAUAAUGAAGACCUACGCCAACAAUUUACUCAUCCGUGGAUGAACAGGGAGAUGCAGAAGCCUCAGCCCAAGAAAAAUGCUUGAGCACAUCACAAGAUUUAUAAGAAUUAGAACCGACAUCAUCAUAAAACUGAAGCAGAACACGAUUGAAACAACCACUGGAUGAUUCAUCGAUUCAGAAAAUCCGACUCAUUUUACACUGUUUGUAUAGGGGAACCAAACCCCCUUUGAUUGUUGACGCACGAACAAACGGGACCAAA